UAAGCCGCCAUGGAUAUACAAUUUGUUC
rnacentral:piRNA from 1 species